rnacentral:rRNA from 1 species
GGUGAACGCUGGCGGAAUGCUUUACACAUGCAAGUCGAACGGCAGCACGGGGCAACCUGGUGGCGAGUGGCGAACGGGUGAGUAAUACAUCGGAACGUGCCCAAUCGUGGGGGAUAACGUAGCGAAAGUUACGCUAAUACCGCAUACGAUCUACGGAUGAAAGCGGGGGAUCGCAAGACCUCGCGCGAAUGGAGCGGCCGAUGUCAGAUUAGGUAGUUGGUGGGGUAAAGGCUCACCAAGCCGACGAUCUGUAGCUGGUCUGAGAGGACGACCAGCCACACUGGGACUGAGACACGGCCCAGACUCCUACGGGAGGCAGCAGUGGGGAAUUUUGGACAAUGGGCGCAAGCCUGAUCCAGCCAUUCCGCGUGCAGGAUGAAGGCCUUCGGGUUGUAAACUGCUUUUGUACGGAACGAAACGGCGAGCUCUAAUACAGUUUGCUAAUGACGGUACCGUAAGAAUAAGCACCGGCUAACUACGUGCCAGCCGCCGCGGUAA